CUGGUAUGACUGGUUUUACUGAUUCCUCCCUCUUGAAGAACUGUAAUGCCAUUAAUUUGGUGUUGCAGGGAAUCAGGACUGUUACUUUGAAAAAAUUAGAGUGUUUAAAGCAGACUUUAGCUUGAAUACAUUAGCAUGGAAUAAUGAAAUAGGACGUUUGAUCCUAUUUUGUUGGUUUCUAGGAUUGACGUAAUGAUUAAUAGGGAUAGUUGGGGGCAUUAGUAUUCAAUUGUCAGAGGUGAAAUUCUUGGAUUUAUUGAAGACUAACUACUGCGAAAGCAUUUGCCAAGGAUGUUUUCAUUAAUCAAGAACGAAAGUUAGGGGAUCGAAGACGAUCAGAUACCGUCGUAGUCUUAACCAUAAACUAUGCCGACUAGGGAUCGGAUGAUGUUAAUUUUUUAAUGACUCAUUCGGCGCCUUACG
rnacentral:rRNA from 1 species